rnacentral:tRNA from 1 species
GCGGCUGUGGCGGAACUGGCAGACGCGCUAGACUCAGGAUCUAGUGGGGAUUCCCCCGUGGAGGUUCAAAUCCUCUCAGCCGCACCA